GACGAACGCUGGCGGCGUGCUUAACUCAUGCAAGUCGAACGGUGAAGCGCCUUCCUUUUUGGUGGGUGUGGAUGAGUGGCGAACGGGUGAGUAACACGUGAGUAACCUGCCCCCUUCUUCUGGAUAACCGCAUGAAAGUGUGGCUAAUACGGGAUAUUCUGGGUCUGUCGCAUGAUGGGUCUGGGAAAGAUAUUGUUUCGGUGGGGGAUGGGCUCGCGGCCUAUCAGCUUGUUGGUGGGGUGAUGGCCUACCAAGGCGGUGACGGGUAGCCGGCCUGAGAGGGUGGACGGUCACACUGGGACUGAGACACGGCCCAGACUCCUACGGGAGGCAGCAGUGGGGAAUAUUGCACAAUGGGCGCAAGCCUGAUGCAGCGACGCCGCGUGAGGGAUGGAGGCCUUCGGGUUGUGAACCUCUUUCGCCAGUGAAGCAGGCCUGCCUCGUUUGUGGGUGGGUUGACGGUAGCUGGAUAAGAAGCGCCGGCUAACUACGUG
rnacentral:rRNA from 1 species